GAAGAAGGGUAAAUGCCACACAAAGAAGUUACAAGCUAUUGAGAAAAAAUUGCAAAUGCUUAAGGAAAACCUAAAGCCUGUUCCUUUUUUCCCUUCAAAGAUUCUUGAUUUUGAUAGGCAUGAGAAGUUACUGAGGCGUUUGGGGUUGUGGGAUUUUGUACAUAUAGAGUUUGAUAGAGAUAUAAGGGUGGAUUUGAUUGCACAGUUGAUUGCUACUUAUGAUUCUAAGUUGAGGGCUAGUUAUGUUAAUGAUUUUAGAAUUGCGGUUAAUAGGGCUGAUUUAGGGCGGGCGCUUAAGCUGCCUUUGAAGAAGGACAAAGGGAGUGUUGCUGUGGUUGAUGGUAUGGAAGUGGAUGCUGAUCCAUUGACUGAGGAGUCGAUAAGCUUUCUUGAGAACUUUGUGUCAAUUUGGGUGCUUUUGCAUGAGGACGCGUGGAUAAUGCCUAAUGAGGUCUUAAGUUGGACUAAGGCUAUAAAAGAUGGGCACCCUGAGAAAGUGGAUUGGGCUGGAUUGUUCUGGUUCAUGGUGGAGAAGGAACUGACACAAGGGGACCAAUUAGUGGACUGUUAUUAUGCUGCACAUUUGCAAUAUUUGAUAAAGUCACAGCGUGAGCAGGUGUUGUAUAGUGAAGAACCAGAAAAGGUGGAGUCUGAAGCUGAUGUGAAGGAGGAGGAGGAUUGUGGUAACGAGGACAAUGCAAGAGUCGGUGGGUCAAUCGAAGCUCAAGAAUUGGAUGGAGCUUUAGGGGAGGAACUGAGUAUUGAGUUGACGUUGGGUCAGGAUCUUGGCCAGAAGCAAGAGGUGAAGGAUGUGGAGAUGAUGGAUGUUGAGGAACCCAAGGAAGAGAAGGAGGUGGUGGAAGAGGAAGAGAAACAGUGGCUUUUUGAUGAAAGAAAAGAUGCUAACGAGCCUUUGUUACAGAGAUGUAAGAUGCAGGAAGCAGUGUCUUUGGAUAACGAUGAGGAGAAGAAAGAAAACCAUGAGUUGGAAGAUGAGAAUGAGAAUGAGAAUGACAACGACACGAACAAUGACAAUGACAAUGACAAUGAUAAUGUGAAUGAUGAUGAUGUUGAGGAAGAGGAUGAAGGAGCAGAGAGGCAUGAGGUUGAAGAUGAAUUUGAUGUUAUUCCUAGUAAUGGUACUCUUGUUGGGGAUGGGAUGACAGGAAAUUUACUGCAAACGAUGGAAAGUACACAGAUUGGAUUUACUUCACAGGGGCAACUUCAUGAUCAGUCUUCAGUUGAGCUUCUUGCUUCUAGAGAUGAGAUGCAUACAGGUGGCCACUUUUUUGGCAGUGGAAGUAAGAGAGAGAUGGAGAUUGAACCUGAUAUGGCUCAUCAUUCUCUCCAUGGCAGCAGCAAGAGGUUGCGAAUUGAGGGGGAAUGGGACGAGAAGCCAUUAGAUUUUGGAUCAUGCAUGGAGCAGAUGCAGCACCUAAUGAUGAAGGCUAGGAUGAUGUAUGAAGCAAAGGAACAGAAUGAGGAUCAAUUAAACAUAAACCAACAAAUUUUUCUUAGUGAAGUGCAUAAAAGGGACAGCGUAAUUGAUCACUUGCAUAAGUCUAAAUGUGAGGAAAUACAAAAAAGGGAUGCAGAUAUUUGUCGUCUUGAACGGGAGCUUUUUAUGAUGGGAAAUAUAUUGGAUGGUUACAGGAAGGCAUUGAAGGAAACCCAGAAACAGUUUUCUGAGUAUAGGAAGAAAUUCCAGCUGCCUGAAGAACCAUACUACAAAGAUGCUGGUCCUGGAGGUCUAAUGUUGAGCUCUGCUGAAAUGGAAAAGCUACGCCUCAAGCAAGAGGAAGAAUUUCGAUCCAAUUGCUUGAUCUUGGAACAAAAAGCAAAAGAAGCAGAGGAAGAAUAUGCUGGUCAGUUUGAGAAUUUUAUGGGUAAGGUUCAGAUGCUGGAUAAGAGGUUGAUAGGCCUUGAGGAUGUAGUGAAGGACCUCAGAAACAUGAGUCCAAAAAGUAAAGUUCCAGAAAGUGAGGAUAAAAUUUCAGAAACUCCCGACUGCCCUGCAGAUGAAUGAUUUGCUUUGCCAAAUCUUCAGUUCCAUGGUUGAAAAAAUGCAGGAUUUUUUGCAGAUGUUUAGCUUACAUUCGACAUGGUGCUUCUUAUAUUACUCGCCGGAAGGUGGUGUUAUGCAAGCAUUUUUGGAGAAGGCUUACUAUAGCUCAGGCUGGUUUAUCUAUGUUUUUGUUUUGUGGCCUU
rnacentral:misc_RNA from 1 species